GAAUCAAAUUCUAAUUCCUGCCAGUACUUCCUAAGCAGUUUUUAGCUUCUACGAGGAAAGACUCCAAAUAAUGACAAUGCCACAUAAAUGAAAAGAAUUUUGGACAAUGACACUGCUCAAUUUUUUUUUUUUAGCAUUCUGUGAAUUUCCUAUUACAUCAGUUUCAUGAUUCAGCAUUUUCCAUUUCAUUUAUUUACAGUAAUAUAUGGCGAUACAACCCCAGGUUUCCGCAGGACCCUGGAACAUAAGGUAGGCUUGGGCAGGAAGGGUGUCGCCUUCUGCAAAUUUACUGCUGCUUAGGAGAAUUCAAAACAUAAGAAAGCAAGCCAACGAAGGUAUUGAGAAAUAUUUCCCCACCUUGUUCUGAGGGUCUAAAUUACUCUAGUAUUUAAAAUGAAUUGGCUUUGAAAAAUAGGUUACUGCUAUUUAGUUGAUGAGUAAAACAGAAGCCAAAAGUGUGCAAAUUGCAAACUGAAACGCAUGAGCCAAACAUAUUCUCUGAAAUGACAAUGUUCAAGACGCAACUAAAGUCACCACUCUGGCGGUAAGCGUGUUAGAGAGAACUAGAUUUCUUUCUGGCAUCUGCAACUUGGCUGGAGUGACCAAGGAGGAGUUGAAGAGCGCUGGAAAUGCGAAGAUGAGAAAACUGAGGCACAGAGAGGCUGUAUAACGUGCCUGAGGUCACACAGCGAGUGCGGCAGAGUCAUCUGGCUCCAAAGCUGUGCAGGUAACCGCCGUUGUUUGGCAAUCAAAGGCUUCCAGCCCCCACGGACCGACCUCUGACUGGCAGAGAUCCUCUAUUGAAUUUUAAAUACCCUCUGUUUCCCCCUGCAUGCUCCUAACAACAACAGAAACAAAACAAAUAAACAAACAAAAAACUAUGCAAUUCCAAGUGCCAGAAUAGCUCUGCUCAUCUGAGGAAGAAACCCUUGAACAUCAAUGAACCGUGCUUAAAAUCUGCCAUUUCACUGCCGACUUUUCAGAAAAGCAUCACCCUGCAAAGAAGUUGCUCUUGAAUGCAAACCUCAUGAUUGCCAGAAUCAUCUAAUGUUCUGACUUGCCGCAUUCUCACUUCGGAAUUGGGUGUUUUAGCUAGGAGAGGUGCAUUAAUUCUCCGCGUGACCACAGACUGAAACACAAGUGGCAUUAACAAAUUACCAGUGAUGGGUAUGCAAAUGGAGCAAGGACAAAUAUUAAAACAGCCCUAUCUCGCUUUGCCGCUACUUCGUCUUGUCCAAAAUUCAUAAAAAUAUUAAUCCUCCAGAACACUUAGUAAUGCAUAUAGGAUAAUAUUCUUGAGGAAGCUAAUAAUUAUCUCUUGUUAGCAAGAUCAACUUACUACAAUCUUUCACUGCAGGGACAGAAAAAUAUUGUGACUUUGCUAUGCUAAGUGAAAUGCAGUGGCAGGAUAAAUUAGAACAUUUAAACUAACAGUAAUAAACACACACAGCUAUAGUUCCCAUCUACAUAUAAUUGAUAAAAUUAACAGAAAAUGGGCAUGGUGGUAAUAGAAGAAUGCAUUAUGAACGGUUGAUUGAGACACAAAAGGACAAACUUUCUUCUAUUGCUUAUGUUGUUAUAGCUCAUAUUUAUUAGGCACCCACUGUGCACAGCAUAACUCUUAUCAGGGACAAGGAUAAUAAUAAAUUACUACCUGUCAACCACGUGCACAGUGACUUCAUUAUGUGUCUAGGCAGCACUCUUAUUAAGUCUUUGGAAUCCAUUAAAAGUUUCAUUUUGAAACAAUGAACCAAGAGGAACAAAUUUAUAAAUUGUAGAUCUCUGGUAUUAACCCAAAGACUUAGCCUUGAAGAGAAAAAAAAAAAAAGAAUUCUAAGGAAAAAAAUUAAUUUCUGCCAAGGAAAAUCUAAGAACAUACAUUAGCAGGUCCUACCAGAUGCCUCCGGGGGUGCUGUAACAGAGAUAAGGCAAAUGUCUAAUUUCACAGAAAAAAAUUUAUAGACUAGACUUUGAAUCAGGCAGAAUCCAAAACCCUUCCCUACCUGGCUCUCAAUCAAAUGGCGCAAUAAACAGCAACGUCCUCAGACAUCCAGAGUCCCCUGGGACGUCUGGACCCGAUCAGUAUCGUGUUCAUCUCCACUGACACAUCCAGACGCAGCUGACGCACUGCAUUUACCAGGUUAAUUUGCUUGGUGCACAGGGUAGACUUUGCAAAGUCUGUGAUACAUCCCCACAUCCAUAUAUGAACGUCUCUUUGCAGUGUGACUUUUCACGCCCCCCCUCCGCCCCCAUCAAGUGGUAGACUCUAUUCCUCCUUGCCUCCACUCUAGGAAGGCUUUGUAACCUGAUCAAACAAAAUCAAUGCAAGUGAUAUUUUGGCAACUUCUGAAAGUUUUGAUAUUUUGGCCUAAGCCUUAAGGCACCUUGCCGCUUUCAACCCUGCCUUCUUAGAACCCAGGGCCACCAGGUAAGGGAGCCGCUGCUAGCCGCCUUGAAGACGAGACUCUGCGUGGAGAUUGAGAGUGGAGGCCAGCCGGCAGCCGGUAUCGACGGCCAGAUGUGUGAGGCCAUCCUGAACCAUCUAGUCCCAGUCAUACGACCAGGUGACAGCAGCUGCAGAAGUGACUCCAGGAGAGACCGAGCAGCACCACCCAGGGGAGCCCAGCACACGUAGCAGACCCUCAGAAUUGCAAGCAAAUAAAAUAGUUGUGAACUGUGAGCCACUCAGUUGGGGGGCAGUUUUGUUUGUUACACAGCAAUAGGCAACUAGACAAUGAACAAGGUGAUCAACACUUUCGAAUUUUGUGCAGUACUUGAAAAGAACAAAGAACGAUUCUACUCUGACUCCUUCUACACGAGCCCAGCCUCGGGGACCGUGUGAGCUUGUGGUGCUAAGGAAUUUCUUCUUGUUCUUCCCCGUCAUCUCUCAAAAGCAAUUCACUCUGAGACUGAACUGCUCAACCUUCCUUUGCCAAGGGAUUAAUAAAAAUUGAAGGCUGAGAAGUGCUUGUUCGGGGGUUGACUGAUGGCUGUUUGCGGUGGGGUGGGUGGGGAGGCGGCCCCAGGCAUCCUCCUCUGUCGGGUUUCGGUUUAGUUCAAAGGCGCUCUGUUGCCAGAAUUCCCUCUUCUUCCAGUCUUUUCCCAAGAAGGCCUUCAGUUGCCAGAAUUCCCUCUUCUUCCAGUCUUUUCCCAAGAAGGCCUUCAGCGGGUGGAUGGGGCCCGCCCACAUUACGUAGGAUAAUCUACUUUCCUCUGAAUGGACUCAUUUACAUGCUAUUCUCAUCUAAAAUAUGCCUUAAAAAUACCUCUCAUCUAAGAAACACCUAAAAUGUUCCACCAACUUUCUGGUUACUGUGGCUUAGCCAAAAUUGAUGCAUAAAAUAACCAUCACAGAGGGUGUCUCCCCCCAAAGAAAGAUAUGCUAACGUCCUAAUUCCCGGCGCCUCAGGACGUGGGCUUGUGUAGAGGUAAGGUCACGACAGGUAGUCACGCUAACAUGAGGCUGUUAGGGUGGGCGCUAACUCAGUAUAACUGGUGUCUUUACGAAAAGGGGAAAUUUGGACACAGAGACGGACACGCGCGGGGGAGGGCGACGUGCGGAUAAGACGGCACGUGACCGAGGGAAAGCAUCUACCCCAGGAAAGCCCAGGGUGGCCGGCAAACUCCAGAUACUGGAGGAAGCAAGGAAGGAGACUCCCUUGGAGCGUGGCCCUGUGUGCACCUUGAUCUUGGACGUCCAGCCUCCAGAACUGCGAGACAAUAGGCUUUUGUUUUAAGCCAUCCAGUUUGGGUGCGUUGUUAUGACAACUCUAGGGGAAGGAUGGAGAUGGGUAGCAGGGAGCUCGUUUCCAGGUCUGAGCGGAGACCACAGGCAGCGGUACCGCUGGGGGAGGCGCAGAGGGAGCUGAAUGCAGGCCCAGUGGUCUCUCCUGGGGCUCCCGUCCUCACGGCGGGGACCUUUGACAAGCCGGGGAGACAGGCCUGAGGGGAGCUUGGCAAGCUUCUAUUUCCUUCCAAAGAAGCAAGAGUGUUCCCUAGAUACCUGCUCACCAAGUAGAGUGGUAUUAUGGGGGUCCUUUGCUGUGAAUUUGGGGGUUCCAGGGGCCUCAGCUCAGGCAUCUAGGGAAGGAAUUUAGCAACAUCCAGUACGUGGCUGCUGGUCCCGCAUUCCAUGAUGACAGCUCACGCCAUGGCGGAGAGAUUUCAGAGCAACCCGGGAGAAGUCACGCUGACAAAACGGGCAACGGCACAGGCUCUGGAGCCAGGCAGACCUGGGUCAGUCUCCACUCUCCCAGUCACCAGUUAAUAACGCUGAGCACUUCAGGUCCACAAUCUCAUUGAGUCAUUCUGACAACUCAUUUUAUAGAUGAGAGACUGAAGCUCAGAGAGGUUAACUGACCUCCCCAAAGUCACACAGCCAGCCAGGAUUCUAAUCCAGGCAGGCUGACCACCAAGUCCCCAAAUUCUUAAUUGGCAUACCUGACAAAAGCAUGCCAGGGACAUCAUGGCUAGGAUUAAGCCCCUAUAUUUAAUCAAGCCAACCAGCAGGCCAGAAGCACCCAUUCUGUUAGAUAUUAUUAAAAGUAUCAAAAAAAGCAAAACUGGGGCCUUGUUCUGGAGGUGUUGACAGUCUAGUUGAUAGGAGGACACCCACUUGGGAAUAAUUAUGAUUGACACCGCCCCCCUUUUGGGGAAUGUGGAAAGCUUAAGUUUGCCCACAGGGAAAGCUUUAGCUACUGGGGACAUCACCAUUUUUAAUGGUGUUUGGCAUGUUGCCCUCCAAACACAUCAGCAGGUGAAAGCAUUUUAUUAGAGACUUCUACUGGCAUAGUGAGAGAGUUGAAAACUAAAGGAAGCUGGGCCAUUGCUUAAAAUGCUAGGCAGCAGGCCCAAAUUGUAGUUAAUCACUACUGUAGGCAAAUCACUGAUUAAUUCCAACUUUAUUUCCCCUCAUUGUGCGUCUCCUGCAUCCAUGCUACCUACCUGACUCCCAGGAAUGGGUGGGGGUGAGGGCUGGUCAGAUAAAAGUGCUGUCACAGUU